GACGAACGCUGGCGGCGUGCUUAACACAUGCAAGUCGAACGGAAAGGCCCUGCUUUUGUGGGGUGCUCGAGUGGCGAACGGGUGAGUAACACGUGAGUAACCUGCCCUUUACUUUGGGGUACCUUCAGUGAACUGGGACUCAUACCGGAUAUGAGCUCCUUCUGCAUGAUGGGUGUUGGAAAGUUUCGGCGGUUGGGGAUGGACUCGCGGCUUAUCAGCUUGUUGGUGGGGUAGUGGCUUACCAAGGCUUUGACGGGUAGCCGGCCUGGGAGGGUGACCGGCCACAUUGGGACUGAGAUACGGGCCAGACUCAUACGGGAGGAAGCAGUGGGGAAUAUUGCAAAAAGGGCGGAAGCCUUAUGCAGCAACGCCGCGUGCGGGAUGACUGCCUGCGGGUUGUAAACCGCUUGCGCCUGUGACGAAGAGUGAGUGACGGUAAUGGGUAAAGAAGCACCGGCUAACUACGUG
rnacentral:rRNA from 1 species